rnacentral:rRNA from 1 species
AAGAAACCAACAGGGAUUGCCCCAGUAACGGCGAGUGAAGCGGCAACAGCUCAAAUUUGAAAUCUGGCCCCUAGGGUCCGAGUUGUAAUUUGUAGAGGAUGCUUUUGGCGCGGCGCCUUCCGAGUUCCCUGGAACGGGACGCCAUAGAGGGUGAGAGCCCCGUCUGGUUGGAUGCCUAGCCUCUGUAAAGCUCCUUCGACGAGUCGAGUAGUUUGGGAAUGCUGCUCUAAAUGGGAGGUAUAUGUCUUCUAAAGCUAAAUACCGGCCAGAGACCGAUAGCGCACAAGUAGAGUGAUCGAAAGAUGAAAAGCACUUUGAAAAGAGGGUUAAAUAGUACGUGAAAUUGUUGAAAGGGAAGCGUUUGUGACCAGACUUGGGCCCGGUUGAUCAUCCAGCGUUUUCGCUGGUGCACUCUGCCGGCCCAGGCCAGCAUCAGUUCGCGCCGGGGGAUAAAGGCUUCGGGAAUGUGGCUCUUCGGAGUGUUAUAGCCCGUUGUGUAAUACCCUGGUGCGGACUGAGGUUCGCGCUCCGCAAGGAUGCUGGCGUAAUGGUCAUCAGCGACCCGUCUUGAAACACGGACCAAGGAGUCGUCUUCGUAUGCGAGUGUUCGGGUGUCAAACCCCUACGCGUAAUGAAAGUGAACGCAGGUGAGAGCUUCGGCGCAUCAUCGACCGAUCCUGAUGUUCUCGGAUGGAUUUGAGUAAGAGCAUACGGGGCCGGACCCGAAAGAAGGUGAACUAUGCCUGUAUAGGGUGAAGCCAGAGGAAACUCUGGUGGAGGCUCGCAGCGGUUCUGACGUGCAAAUCGAUCGUCAAAUAUGGGCAUGGGGGCGAAAGACUAAUCGA